AGUGGCGAACGGGUGAGUAAUACGUGAGUAACCUACCCUUGACUCUGGGAUAAGCCUGGGAAACUGGGUCUAAUACUGGAUACGACAUGUCACCGCAUGGUGGUGUGUGGAAAGGGUUUUACUGGUUUUGGAUGGGCUCACGGCCUAUCAGCUUGUUGGUGGGGUAAUGGCUCACCAAGGCGACGACGGGUAGCCGGCCUGAGAGGGUGACCGGCCACACUGGGACUGAGACACGGCCCAGACUCNUACGGGAGGCAGCAGUGGGGAAUAUUGCACAAUGGGCGAAAGCCUGAUGCAGCGACGCCGCGUGAGGGAUGACGGCNUUCGGGUUGUAAACCUCUUUCAGCACGGAAGAAGCGAAAGUGACGGUACGUGCAGAAGAAGCGCCGGCUAACUACGUGCCAGCAGCCGCGGUAAUACGUAGGGCGCAAGCGUUGUCCGGAAUUAUUGGGCGUAAAGAGCUCGUAGGCGGUUUGUCGCGUCUGCUGUGAAANCCCGGGGCUUAACCCCGGGUGUGCAGUGGGUACGGGCAGACUUGAGUGCAGUAGGGGAGACUGGAAUUCCUGGUGUAGCGGUGAAAUGCGCAGAUAUCAGGAGGAACACCGAUGGCGAAGGCAGGUCUCUGGGCUGUUACUGACGCUGAGGAGCGAAAGCAUGGGGAGCGAACAGGAUUAGAUACCCUGGUAGUCCAUGCCGUAAACGUUGGGCACUAGGUGUGGGGAACAUUCCACGUUUUCCGCGCCGUCAUGAACGCAUUAAGUGC
rnacentral:rRNA from 1 species